rnacentral:rRNA from 1 species
CACGUAGGGUGCGAGCGUUGUCCGGAAUUAUUGGGCGUAAAGCGCGCGCAGGCGGUCCUUUAAGUCUGAUGUGAAAGCCCACGGCUCAACCGUGGAGGGUCAUUGGAAACUGGGGGACUUGAGUGCAGAAGAGGAAAGCGGAAUUCCACGUGUAGCGGUGAAAUGCGUAGAGAUGUGGAGGAACACCAGUGGCGAAGGCGGCUUUCUGGUCUGUAACUGACGCUGAGGCGCGAAAGCGUGGGGAGCAAACAGG